rnacentral:rRNA from 1 species
CAGGACACGGUAAGGAUUGGACGGACUGAAGGCUCUUUCUCGAUUCCGUGGAAAGUGGUGCAUGGCCGUUUUUGGUUGGUGGAUCGAUCCGUCUGGUUAAUUCCGUUAACGAACGAGACCUCGGCACUCCGAAUAGCGCGGCGGACGUCGCGGCCUCCGGGCCGUCUUCCGCACGAGCUUCUUAGAGGGGACCGUCCCCCCGCCGGGGAAGGAGGUGCGAGGCAACGACAGGUCUGUGAUGCCCUUAGAUGUUCUGGGCCGCACGCGCAUUACACUGACGCGUCCAACGGGUGACUCCCGACCCGAAGGGGCCGGGGAAUCCGCAAGGCGCGUCGUGAUGGGGAUUGAACGUUGCAAUUGUUGUUCACGAACGAGGAAUUCCUAGUAGGCGCGGGUCAUCAACCCGCGCCGAUUACGUCCCUGCCCUUUGUACACACCGCCCCC